rnacentral:rRNA from 1 species
UUAAGCGACUAAGCGUACACGGUGGAUGCCCUGGCAGUCAGAGGCGAUGAAGGACGUGCUAAUCUGCGAAAAGCGUCGGUAAGGUGAUAUGAACCGUUAUAGCCGGCGAUGUCCGAAUGGGGAAACCCAGUGCAAUUCGUUGCACUAUCGUUAACUGAAUACAUAGGUUAACGAGGCGAACCGGGGGAACUGAAACAUCUAAGUACCCCGAGGAAAAGAAAUCAACCGAGAUUCCCCCAGUAGCGGCGAGCGAACGGGGAGCAGCCCAGAGUCUGAAUCAGCUUGUGUGUUAGUGGAACGGUCUGGAAAGUCCGACGGUACAGGGUGAUAGUCCCGUACACCAAAAUGCACAGGUUGUGAACUCGAAGAGUAGGGCGGGACACGUGGUAUCCUGUCUGAAUAUGGGGGGACCAUCCUCCAAGGCUAAAUACUCCUGACUGACCGAUAGUGAACCAGUACCGUGAGGGAAAGGCGAAAAGAACCCCGGCGAGGGGAGUGAAAAAGAACCUGAAACCGUGUACGUACAAGCAGUGGGAGCACCUUCGGGUGUGACUGCGUACCUUUUGUAUAAUGGGUCAGCGACUUAUAUUCUGUAGCAAGGUUAACCGUAUAGGGGAGCCGCAGGGAAACCGAGUCUUAACUGGGCGUUAAGUUGCAGGGUAUAGACCCGAAACCCGGUGAUCUAGCCAUGGGCAGGUUGAAGGUUGGGUAACACUAACUGGAGGACCGAACCGACUAAUGUUGAAAAAUUAGCGGAUGACUUGUGGCUGGGGGUGAAAGGCCAAUCAAACCGGGAGAUAGCUGGUUCUCCCCGAAAGCUAUUUAGGUAGCGCCUCGUGAAUUCAUCUUCGGGGGUAGAGCACUGUUUCGGCUAGGGGGUCAUCCCGACUUACCAACCCGAUGCAAACUACGAAUACCGAAGAAUGUUAUCACGGGAGACACACGGCGGGUGCUAACGUCCGUCGUGAAGAGGGAAACAACCCAGACCGCCAGCUAAGGUCCCAAAGUCAUGGUUAAGUGGGAAACGAUGUGGGAAGGCACAGACAGCCAGGAUGUUGGCUUAGAAGCAGCCAUCAUUUAAAGAAAGCGUAAUAGCUCACUGGUCGAGUCGGCCUGCGCGGAAGAUGUAACGGGGCUAAACCAUGCACCGAAGCUGCGGCAGCGACACUAUGUGUUGUUGGGUAGGGGAGCGUUCUGUAAGCCUGCGAAGGUGUGCUGUGAGGCAUGCUGGAGGUAUCAGAAGUGCGAAUGCUGACAUAAGUAACGAUAAAGCGGGUGAAAAGCCCGCUCGCCGGAAGACCAAGGGUUCCUGUCCAACGUUAAUCGGGGCAGGGUGAGUCGACCCCUAAGGCGAGGCCGAAAGGCGUAGUCGAUGGGAAACAGGUUAAUAUUCCUGUACUUGGUGUUACUGCGAAGGGGGGACGGAGAAGGCUAUGUUAGCCGGGCGACGGUUGUCCCGGUUUAAGCAUGUAGGCUGGUUGUCCAGGCAAAUCCGGAUAAUCAAGGCUGAGGUGUGAUGACGAGGCACUACGGUGCUGAAGUAACAAAUGCCCUGCUUCCAGGAAAAGCCUCUAAGCAUCAGGUAACAUUAAAUCGUACCCCAAACCGACACAGGUGGUCAGGUAGAGAAUACCAAGGCGCUUGAGAGAACUCGGGUGAAGGAACUAGGCAAAAUGGUGCCGUAACUUCGGGAGAAGGCACGCUGGUGUGUAGGUGAAGUCCCUGCGGAUGGAGCUGAGACCAGUCGAAGAUACCAGCUGGCUGCAACUGUUUAUUAAAAACACAGCACUGUGCAAACACGAAAGUGGACGUAUACGGUGUGACGCCUGCCCGGUGCCGGAAGGUUAAUUGAUGGGGUUAUCCGUAAGGAGAAGCUCUUGAUCGAAGCCCCGGUAAACGGCGGCCGUAACUAUAACGGUCCUAAGGUAGCGAAAUUCCUUGUCGGGUAAGUUCCGACCUGCACGAAUGGCGUAAUGAUGGCCAGGCUGUCUCCACCCGAGACUCAGUGAAAUUGAACUCGCUGUGAAGAUGCAGUGUACCCGCGGCAAGACGGAAAGACCCCGUGAACCUUUACUAUAGCUUGACACUGAACAUUGAGCCUUGAUGUGUAGGAUAGGUGGGAGGCUUUGAAGCGUGGACGCCAGUCUGCGUGGAGCCAACCUUGAAAUACCACCCUUUAAUGUUUGAUGUUCUAACGUUGGCCCUUACCGGGGUUGCGGACAGUGUCUGGUGGGUAGUUUGACUGGGGCGGUCUCCUCCCAAAGCGUAACGGAGGAGCACGAAGGUUAGCUAAUCCUGGUCGGACAUCAGGAGGUUAGUGCAAUGGCAUAAGCUAGCUUGACUGCGAGCGUGACGGCGCGAGCAGGUGCGAAAGCAGGUCAUAGUGAUCCGGUGGUUCUGAAUGGAAGGGCCAUCGCUCAACGGAUAAAAGGUACUCCGGGGAUAACAGGCUGAUACCGCCCAAGAGUUCAUAUCGACGGCGGUGUUUGGCACCUCGAUGUCGGCUCAUCACAUCCUGGGGCUGAAGUAGGUCCCAAGGGUAUGGCUGUUCGCCAUUUAAAGUGGUACGCGAGCUGGGUUUAGAACGUCGUGAGACAGUUCGGUCCCUAUCUGCCGUGGGCGCUGGAGAAUUGAGGGGGGCUGCUCCUAGUACGAGAGGACCGGAGUGGACGCAUCACUGGUGUUCGGGUUGUCAUGCCAAUGGCACUGCCCGGUAGCUAAAUGCGGAAGAGAUAAGUGCUGAAAGCAUCUAAGCACGAAACUUGCCCCGAGAUGAGUUCUCCCUGAGACUUUAAGUCUCCUGAAGGAACGUUGAAGACGACGACGUUGAUAGGCCGGGUGUGUAAGCGCAGCGAUGCGUUGAGCUAACCGGUACUAAUGAACCGUGAGGCUUAACCUU